rfam:Triticum aestivum genome assembly, contig: Triticum_aestivum_CS42_TGACv1_scaffold_499821_6BL
GCUCAGUUGGUAAAGCACAAGGCUCUUAACCUUGUGGACGUGGAUUCAAGCCCCAU